UGGGGAAUUUUGGACAAUGGGCGAAAGCCUGAUCCAGCAAUGCCGCGUGUGUGUAGAAGGCCUUCGGGUUGUAAAGCACUUUUGUCCGGAAAGAAAUGGCUCUGGUUAAUACCUGGGGUCGAUGACGGUACCGGAAGAAUAAGGACCUGCUCACUACGUGCCAGCAGCCGCGGUAAUACGUAGGGUCCAAGCGUUAAUCGGAAUUACUGGGCGUAAAGCGUGCGCAGGCGGUUGUGCAAGACCGAUGUGAAAUCCCCGAGCUUAACUUGGGAAUUGCAUUGGAGACUACACGGCUAGAGUGUGUCAGAGGGGGGUAGAAUUCCACGUGUAGCAGUGAAAUGCGUAGAGAUAUGGAGGAAUACCGAUGGCGAAGGCAGCCCCCUGGGAUAACACUGACGCUAAUGCACGAAAGCGUGGGGAGCAAACAGG
rnacentral:rRNA from 1 species